rnacentral:rRNA from 1 species
UGAUCCUGGCUCAGAUUGAACGCUGGCGGGAUGCUUUACAUGCAAGUCGAACGGCAACGAACCGGUCUGGUGGCGGUGCCGAACAGGUGAGUAAUGUAUCGGAACGUGCCCUAGUAGCGGGGGAUAACUACGCGAAAACGUAGCUAAUACCGCCACGCCCUUCGAAGGGGGAAAGCAGGGGACCUUCGGGCAUCACUGUGGAAACGGCCGAUAUCGGAUUGGCUAGUUGGUGGAGGUAACGGCUCACCAAGGCGACGAUCCGUGGCUGGUUUGGGGGACGACCAGCCACGCAGGACUGAGACGGCCCAGACUCCUACGGGGAGGCAGCAGUGAAAUUUUGGACAAUGGAAGCCACAGUCAGCCAUCCGCGUGUGCGGUGACUUCGGGUUGUAAAGCACUUUUGGCAGGAAAGAAACGGCGCAGGAUAAUACCCGUGCAGCUGACGGUACCUGCAGAAUAAGCACCGGCUAACUACGUGCCAACAGCCGCGGUAAUACGUAGGGUGCAAGCGUUAAUCGGAAUUACUGGGCGUAAAGCGUGCGCAGGCGGUUCGGAAAGAAAGAUGUGAAAUCCCAGAGCUUAACUUUGGAACUGCAUUUUUAACUACCGAGCUACAGAGUGUCAGAGGGUGGAAUUCCGCGUGCUAGCAGUGAAAUGCGUAGAUAUGCGGAGGGAACACCGAUAGCGGCGCAACCUCCUGGGAUAACACUGACGCUCAUGCAUGAGAAAGCGUCAGAACAAACCAGGAUUAGAUACCCUGAGUACAGUCCACGCCUAAGCUUUGAUGUCAACUAGCUGUUGGGGCCUUCGGGCCUUAUUUGGCCCUGGCUAACGGCGAUGAAGUUGUGCCGCAAGGAGUACGGUCGCAAGAUUAAAACUCAAAGGAAUUGACGGGGACCCACUGGCUUGGUGGAUGAUGUGGAUUAAUUCGAUGCAACGCGAAAAAGCCUUGUUACCUGCCCCUUGACAUGUCUGGAAUCGAAGAGAUUUAGGAGUGCUCGCAAAGAGAACCGGAACACAGGUGCUGCAUGGCUGUCGUCAGCUCGUGUCGUGAGAUGUUGGGUUAAGUCCCGCAACGAGCGCAACCCUUGUCAUUAGUUGCUACGAAGGGCACUCUAAUGAGACUGCCGGUGACAAACCGGAGGAAGGGUGGGGAUGACGUCAAGUCCUCAUGGCCCACUUAUGGGUAGGGCCCUACGUCAUACAAUGGUCGGGACAGAGGGUCGCCAACCCCGCGAGGGAAGGCCAAUCCCAGAAACCCGAUCCAUCUGAUCCGGAUCGCAGUCUGCAACUCGACUGCGUGAAGUCGGAAUCGCUAGUAAUCGCGGAUCAGCAUGUCGCGGUGAAUACGUUCCAGAUUGCUGCGCCAAAUCACACCAUGGGAGUGGGUUUGCCUGAGAAGUAGUUAGCCUAACCGUAAGGAGGGCGAUUACCACGGUAGGAUUCAUGACUGGGGUGAGUCGUAUUUCAGGU